UGCAGUCGAGCGGAACGAUCCCAGCUUGCUGGGAGGCGUCGAGCGGCGGACGGGUGAGUAAUGCAUAGGAAUCUGCCCGAUAGUGGGGGAUAACCUGAGGAAACUCAGGCUAAUACCGCAUACGUCCUACGGGAGAAAGCAGGGGCUCUUCGGACCUUGCGCUAUCGGAUGAGCUUAUGUCGGAUUAGCUGGUUGGUGAGGUAACGGCUCACCAAGGCGACGAUCCGUAGCUGGUCUGAGAGGAUGAUCAGCCACAUCGGGACUGAGACACGGCCCGAACUCCUACGGGAGGCAGCAGUGGGGAAUAUUGGACAAUGGGGGCAACCCUGAUCCAGCCAUGCCGCGUGUGUGAAGAAGGCCCUCGGGUUGUAAAGCACUUUCAGUGAGGAAGAAUGCUUGUCGGUUAAUACCCGGCAAGGGAGACAUCACUCACAGAAGAAGCACCGGCUAACUCCGUGCCAGCAGCCGCGGUAAUACGGAGGGUGCGAGCGUUAAUCGGAAUUACUGGGCGUAAAGCGCGCGUAGGCGGCUUGAUAAGCCGGUUGUGAAAGCCCCGGGCUCAACCUGGGAACGGCAUCCGGAACUGUCAGGCUAGAGUGCAGGAGAGGAAGGUAGAAUUCCCGGUGUAGCGGUGAAAUGCGUAGAGAUCGGGAGGAAUACCAGUGGCGAAGGCGGCCUUCUGGACUGACACUGACGCUGAGGUGCGAAAGCGUGGGUAGCAAACAGGAUUAGAUACCCUGGUAGUCCACGCCGUAAACGAUGUCGACUAGCCGUUGGGGUCCUCGAGACCUUUGUGGCGCAGUUAACGCACUAAGUCGACCGCCUGGGGAGUACGGCCGCAAGGUUAAAACUCAAAUGAAUUGACGGGGGCCCGCACAAGCGGUGGAGCAUGUGGUUUAAUUCGAUGCAACGCG
rnacentral:rRNA from 1 species